AAAUUGAAGAGUUUGAUCAUGGCUCAGAUUGAACGCUGGCGGCAGGCCUAACACAUGCAAGUCGAACGGUAACAGGAAGCAGCUUGCUGCUUUGCUGACGAGUGGCGGACGGGUGAGUAAUGUCUGGGAAACUGCCUGAUGGAGGGGGAUAACUACUGGAAACGGUGGCUAAUACCGCAUAACGUCGCAAGACCAAAGAGGGGGACCUUCGGGCCUCUUGCCAUCAGAUGUGCCCAGAUGGGAUUAGCUGGUUGGUGAGGUAACGGCUCACCAAGGCGACGAUCCCUAGCUGGUCUGAGAGGAUGACCAGCCACACUGGAACUGAGACACGGUCCAGACUCCUACGGGAGGCAGCAGUGGGGAAUAUUGCACAAUGGGCGCAAGCCUGAUGCAGCCAUGCCGCGUGUAUGAAGAAGGCCUUCGGGUUGUAAAGUACUUUCAGCGGGGAGGAAGGUGUUGUGGUUAAUAACCGCAGCAAUUGACGUUACCCGCAGAAGAAGCACCGGCUAACUCCGUGCCAGCAGCCGCGGUAAUACGGAGGGUGCAAGCGUUAAUCGGAAUUACUGGGCGUAAAGCGCACGCAGGCGGUCUGUCAAGUCGGAUGUGAAAUCCCCGGGCUCAACCUGGGAACUGCAUUCGAAACUGGCAGGCUUGAGUCUUGUAGAGGGGGGUAGAAUUCCAGGUGUAGCGGUGAAAUGCGUAGAGAUCUGGAGGAAUACCGGUGGCGAAGGCGGCCCCCUGGACAAAGACUGACGCUCAGGUGCGAAAGCGUGGGGAGCAAACAGGAUUAGAUACCCUGGUAGUCCACGCCGUAAACGAUGUCUACUUGGAGGUUGUGCCCUUGAGGCGUGGCUUCCGGAGCUAACGCGUUAAGUAGACCGCCUGGGGAGUACGGCCGCAAGGUUAAAACUCAAAUGAAUUGACGGGGGCCCGCACAAGCGGUGGAGCAUGUGGUUUAAUUCGAUGCAACGCGAAGAACCUUACCUGGUCUUGACAUCCACGGAAGAAUUCAGAGAUGGAUUUGUGCCUUCGGGAACCGUGAGACAGGUGCUGCAUGGCUGUCGUCAGCUCGUGUUGUGAAAUGUUGGGUUAAGUCCCGCAACGAGCGCAACCCUUAUCCUUUGUUGCCAGCGGUCCGGCCGGGAACUCAAAGGAGACUGCCAGUGAUAAACUGGAGGAAGGUGGGGAUGACGUCAAGUCAUCAUGGCCCUUACGACCAGGGCUACACACGUGCUACAAUGGCGCAUACAAAGAGAAGCGACCUCGCGAGAGCAAGCGGACCUCAUAAAGUGCGUCGUAGUCCGGAUUGGAGUCUGCAACUCGACUCCAUGAAGUCGGAAUCGCUAGUAAUCGUGGAUCAGAAUGCCACGGUGAAUACGUUCCCGGGCCUUGUACACACCGCCCGUCACACCAUGGGAGUGGGUUGCAAAAGAAGUAGGUAGCUUAACCUUCGGGAGGGCGCUUACCACUUUGUGAUUCAUGACUGGGGUGAAGUCGUAACAAGGUAACCGUAGGGGAACCUGCGGUUGGAUCACCUCCUUACCUUAAAGAAGC
rnacentral:rRNA from 1 species